rnacentral:rRNA from 1 species
AUUGAACGCUGGCGGCAUGCUUUACACAUGCAAGUCGAACGGCAGCGGGUCCUUCGGGAUGCCGGCGAGUGGCGAACGGGUGAGUAAUGCAUCGGAACGUACCGUGUAAUGGGGGAUAACGUAGCGAAAGUUACGCUAAUACCGCAUACGCCCUGAGGGGGAAAGCGGGGGAUCGCAAGACCUCGCGUUAUACGAGCGGCCGAUGUCGGAUUAGCUAGUUGGUGGGGUAAAGGCCCACCAAGGCGACGAUCCGUAGCGGGUCUGAGAGGAUGAUCCGCCACACUGGGACUGAGACACGGCCCAGACUCCUACGGGAGGCAGCAGUGGGGAAUUUUGGACAAUGGGGGCAACCCUGAUCCAGCCAUGCCGCGUGCGGGAAGAAGGCCUCGGUUGUAACCGACUUCGUACGGAAGAAAUACGCAUGGUUAAGUAACCCUGUGUGGAGUGACGGUACGUAACGAAGAAG